rnacentral:rRNA from 1 species
CCUACGGGGGGCUGCAGUGGGGAAUUUUGGACAAUGGGGGCAACCCUGAUCCAGCCAUGCCGCGUGCGGGAAGAAGGCCUUCGGGUUGUAAACCGCUUUCGGCCGGAACGAAAUCGCCGGGGAGAACAUCCCCGGUGGAUGACGGUACCGGAAGAAGAAGCACCGGCUAACUACGUGCCAGCAGCCGCGGUAAUACGUAGGGUGCGAACUGUGAUUAGAAUGUGUGGGCGCGAAGCGUGAGCACACGGGUGAAAUCCCCGGGCUUAACCUGGGAACUGCGUUUGUGACUGGCGGGCUGGAGUGCGGAAGAGGGAGGUGGAAUUCCACGUGUAGCAGUGAAAUGCGUAGAGAUGUGGAGGAACACCGAUGGCGAAGGCAGCCUCCUGGUCUAGCACUGACGCUCAUGCACGAAAGCGUGGGGAGCAAACAGGAUUAGAUACCCCGGUAGUC